rnacentral:misc_RNA from 1 species
CAGCGAACAAGACGCAGCAAAGUUCUACGACCGUGACGAACAGGACGCCGCCAAAUUCUACGACCGCAGCGAGCAGGAUGCAGCCAAGUUCUAUGACCGCCGCAGUGAACAAGACGCCGCCAAGUUCUACGAUCGCAGUGAGCAAGACGCCGCUAAGUUCUACGAUCGCAGCGAACAAGAUGCCGCUAAAUUCUACGACCGCCGCAGCG